GCAAAUUCAAGGUAAAAUAUUUAGAGGGGAAGAAAGUUGUAAUUGUUUAAAACUUACCGAGUCUUUAGGGAAAGCUAUGAAGAGUUGGUUGAAGUUUGGAGCUGUAUCUAGAAAUUCCAAAGACUGUUUCAAUAUAAAACGACAAGUAUCAGUCAGCUGUGGCUUUCAAAUGACGCUCAAAGUCAUUGGGGAAAGUUGGUAGGUUCCAUAGAAAGACAAAUACUCAAAUUUCUAUUACCUCCAAACACUUCUUUAUAGGAAAACUCUAUCUCAACUUUAUUUCUUAUCACCCACAAGCAACUUCUUCACAGUUCCUUUGAAAAUGCUACUUGUUUUCGUUUGUACUAGUCUAGAGAUAUAUAGUAUUUAUUUCUCUUUUGACCUUUGAGUACUUAAUAAACAAAACGUCAAUUUAAACUAUGAUUUUGCUUAAAUAAAUAACUUUCCUUCUUUUCAACACUGUUUCUCAACUCGGGUACACCAUUUUAUUUAUUUAUUGUUUUUGCAUAAGUGAUGACUAUAAUACUUACGCUAGAGGGAAGUUAGGUUCCAAAUAAAUAUACAUAUGUUAUGAUUAUAAUUGUUUUGCUCAUGAAAUUGCUAUAAAUUUAUUUAACCAUCUUACAUCAUGAGUCGGCUGUGUUAGGUUGGAGCUACCUACCAAAUGCACCUCAGCAGCCUUACAUCUUUAAUUUUAUUUUUCAACAAUCAGCGUUGCAUCUUUUGACAGCAUAAACUGAGACAAAACGACUCAGAAUCGCAAAUAAAAAAAUACAAGGAGAUGAAAGAAGAAGCAGCAGACAUCCCCCAACCAAACUCAAGGCACUACCUAGUGUCACAUUCUAAUCUAAUCAACAAAUUAAGGCGGAUUUAUACUAAUAAACAAUUUCCAAGCUGGAGAAAAAAAAAAAGGAAUUAUAUGUUAAAUCAAUUAUUUUCUUUAGGUGUUUGAGGUUGAUUACUGAACAAGCAGCCACAAGAAAUAAAUGCAUCACCAAGUUGAUGUGGAAUGUGCUCUUAAUCUCAUCCCGGAAUAAAAGAAGAACAAAAGAUUAACUUCGAUUGAUACACAAUUUGGCCCAAAAAUAUGGAAAAAAGAACAAUCACCAUAAUACUACUCAAACGACAAAUCGAAAAGCAAAACCCUAAACGUUAUUCCUUUAUUUAUUGACUUAUAGAGCUACCAAAUAAUCUUCAAAAAGUAAAAUAAAAUUGUGGUUUCAUAUUUUUUUCAUUUAAAUUGACAACAAAUUGCUCUUCUUUUGGCAGUGAUAUAAUUUUAAACAUUAAUAAAAUGAUUUUCUCAAUAAAUAUGCAUCUAUUAUGCAUUUUGGACUUGAAAGAAUAUCAAUUUUCUUUUAAUUUUUUUUAACUUAAUUAAAAAUUUUAAAAAAUAUAUUCUUCUGUUAUACUGAGUACAAAUGCUUAAUUAGAUACUAAAUCACGUAUAAACUAAUCAUUUUGAAAAUUCAUAUCAAAUCCUUAAUACCAUAGAAGGUUAUUAAAUCUAGUUGGCUUAGUAUUAAAAUGUUGAAAUAAAAGAAGCACGGUAUUAGUACAUUAGAAUAAAUUACAGGUCUUGAAAUGGAAAAAGCGAAAGCAUAAAAAACAAACUAUAUAUUCAUCGGUAAUUUUUAAUAUAAGCUUAAUUACAACAAGAGUACAUUCCAUGACUAAAUUAUUGUUCACCCAAAGAUGCAUAGAAUCAACACUGUUAAUGGCCGGAGCAUAUUUAAAUGACCACGCAUUGAGGACUCUAAGCUAGUAUUCUAGAGAAUCAUAGUAAUGUUGAUUGUUAAUUUUUGAAACAUAUGUAAGCGUUUGAGUGUUUCCUUGAACAAGUUAUGUAGACUUGUGCAUCUCAAUCACUAUAUAUAUGUAUAAUUUUAGUGGACGGAGACCAAAUAUAUAUAUAUAUAUAUAUAUAUGAUAAGUAGUUUGUAUAUCAAUUCUAGUAAAAAGAUAAUAUGACUCUAACAUCUCAACUGCUAGAGUAUAAACUAUGUGUUGCUCGAAGAUAAUUAGUUCUAGUUUAUCUUUCCGUGAAUCAAUCACUCUCAGUUUCUAGCUUCAUGAUGCACUUUUCAAAAUUUAUGCAAGUUAUACUAAAAGGCCAUCUUGUCAACCCAAAUUAAAUAAAAGGAAGCCUAUCCCAUGGAAUAGCUUAUACAUACCGGGAUUCCUUUUUUUCCAUCGAGAAAGUUUGGGCCUUCAGAUUAUACCUAUGCCUAUAGGUUGAUGGCAAUCAAAUAACUUUUAGUGUUUGAAUCGAAAAGGACCUUACUGCUUAAACUUGAACUUGAUAGCAAGAAAUGCACACUUCUAUUGCAAUUAUGUAGAAUGAAUCACUUUUCAAAUUAAAUAAUAACUUCUAUACGAAUGUUUCAAAUAUGCAUUGCACAUUGAAUUACAAGCAUGUCUAAGCUCCAAUCAACCACACCCUGCCACCCAAUAACUAAAAAACCACAUAUCAUGACUUCUCUCCAAUGGCGAAGUCAACCGCUUGGAAGACCAGAAUACCCUUCAUGCAAUACAACACUCGAAAUGCCUGGAACUCUAAAAAUGAUGAAGCAAAGACGGAACGCAAUUGCUUAAAUGCAUGGCAGUCUGUCCUACCUUUAUUAUUUAUUCACAUAAAUUCUUUGAUAUAAUUAAGAAUUAUCAAUUAUAAUCCUCUCAUAUGUAUAUGUUGAAUAUGAUAAAUUAUGUUAUUCCAAACCUCUAAUUUUGACUUGAUGCAAGUGAUCCUAAUAAAUUAAACCGCAUCCUUCUAUUUUACUUAAGAGGACGAGAGUUCAAGAAUCAAAGACCCAAUAGGAUGCAAUGUAGCAAUUUUGUGGCAAUGACAGUACAAAUAUAGACAAGAAUUUAGUGCAUGUGUACUAGCUACAAGUGCAAGCAGAUAGAGGCCUUCUAGAAGAAACUAUAUCAUGUGUACUACAUCUAUCGUUUUCUUGCAUGCAAAAUGUACUACAAAUUCAAACUAUUCAAUUCAUAGCUUCAGCCUAAACCAUGCCGACCACAAUUUUGUGUUCCUUUUACUUAAUUGCUAUCUGUUUUUGAGCUUUAGCACAAGAAAAUUCACACAUACACGCAGGAAAAGGUGGCAUAAGUACUGUGGAGUUGCACUUCCUAUUUUUACACCAUCAUCACUACCCAAUGGUGGUAUGUUUUUCCAUUAAAUUACAAAUUUAGACUUCUAAAUCUACUUACGAAUUCUAAGCUAGACCCCCUUCUCUUUUUUGUUUUGUUUUAAUUCUUGUUCUUGUUAUUUAGACGCGCACAAUAAUAAGCUUGAGUUCUUUGCUUUGACCUGUCUCUUUUGGUUAAAAAGAAAAAAUAAUAUAUAUUUUUUAUUCUAACUUUUAUCAAGUCAUGCAUAUGAAUAUGAAGUAUGAAGUCUGAAAUCCGAUACUUAUAGAAAUAAAAUUGUAUUAAGAUGUGAAAGACUGCAUAUACAGUUGUUAAAUGAUCUAAAAUAGAAGUCACAUGUACCAAAAAGAAUGAAUUAGGGUAUUUAGACAGAGAUACUAUGAAGAAAUAAUUAAUUAAAUAAUAGAAAUCUUAUUGGUGUUUCAAUAUCUAAUAUCAACUUUGUCAAAAAGAAAAUAUAUAUCCAUCAAUAACGAACUUGAUAAUUUUUUUUAUAUUAGUUUUUUCACAUUAAUGUUUCAGGAGGCUAAAAAAGCUUGAUUAUGCCUUAAACAUAUAAAUCAUAGAUCAGAAUUGUUGCUGAACUUAAGUGCAACUGUAUUAUGUGCUGUUUCUAUUUAAACUAUGUCAAAUGAUUUGAAGAGGGAUAUAUACGCGUAGAAACACACAACACCUAUUAGUUAAACAGCAGCUACAUGAUUAAAUUCCUUUAUGAAGAAGUUGGUACUUUGAUUCAUAGGGCGGCAGGAGUGGGAGACAUGAACAUAUAUAGAAUAGAUAUGGAUAACAUAUACAUAUAUAUAUAUUAUUUAGUGCUCUUCCUGUUAUAUGCACAGCUGUGUGGUUUUUGACACCAAACUUAGCUCCAAACAUAUACUUUAAGCUUUAGAAACCAGUAUUCGGCGUUAGAUUUAGCUGGCAUAAAGAAAUAUAUGCCCGUAUAAAUUAGUAAUUCAAAAUUUAAUAUUUUUUUAAAAAAAUUAGAAAUUUACAGCAUUAGUUUUUAUGUAUGUAUAUAUAACAUACUAUAAUAUAAUCAGGAUGGUUGUAAUUAUUAUUGAAUUUGUUAUUUAGUCUAUUAUUUGAGCUCAAUUUUUAUACAGUUAGUAUCUUAAACUAUAAUUCCUAAAUAUACAGAAUGAGUAUGGGAAAUGUGCUAAGAACUUUGAGUACUAAUUAAGCUUAUCCGAACAACCCUUGAUUUUAGAUUUCAGAUUUAUUUAAAGAAAAUUCAGCAUGGGAGUUGCAUAACUAAAUUGCGAAACAUGUUUUGUUGAUGAUAAAUUACCUUAGUAGCUUGCUAAAUUCUUUGUGCUUCCUAAUCAUUUAAUUAAUCUAAGAGUUGAAAUUAAUUAUCUUUUUUCUGGAAAAUGAAAAUCUAUAUAUUAUUCAAGAAGUCAAUGGUAAAUUAAUUAACGUUCAACUCUCCCACAGUUUUACCAAUCCUAAUUACCUUCGGUUGUACCAACAAAGAAAGAUUGAUAUAAUAGGUGAAGAUAAAAGAAAGUAGCACGACUGAAUAAGUCGUUAAUUUUAUUAAAUAUUUCUUCAUUAGCCCAAUGAUGUAUGGACGCGCAGCCUAUGUAAUGAAGGGGAAAAAUUAACGUGGAUUUUAGUGUUUAAUUCUUUUCGCAGGUCACUUUCUAGCAAUGCUAUAAAAGCAUAAACAGAGUUCGACUUUUAUCUUUUCUUUAUCAUACAGUCAAAUUCUGGUACAUUACAUAGCAAAUCAAUCCCCUAUUACCAACUUUGUAAUUAAGACAACAAGCAAGUGACGUAAUUAAUUAAGAAAUGUCCACGCAACCCUAAUUAAAAAAAUUAAAAUUAACCUCAAAUCAUAAGUGAGAUACGGCCACCAAAUAUCUCUAGGUCGUAUUACAUAUCUUACAGUUUUUGACCUCAUGUUAAUAUAUGAUUUUUCUAUACGAUUUAAUUAUGCUUAAAAACAAAUAAACAACAAACCAACUCUUUGUUUUUGUUUAAUUAUUCUUCUUCCAAACUCCCAACUCUAAACUAUUCCAACAGAAAAGAACUCUCAGAGAUUACGUGGCGCAAUCAGUGCCGUUGUUUCUGUUGACAAAAUAGCCAAUACCAAGCUCCUGAAAACUCUCUACUUACAUAUAAUUCAGCUAUCAUGUUAAAAUGAUCACUGAGUGAAAAAAACACACACACACGUAUAAAUCUCUUUGCUUCCUGCUGUAUGAUUUACAAUUUGUUUUGUCUGUAAUUUAGUGUAUUUUACUAAGGAUUUGGAAAAAAUGCAGGUACUUAAUUAUUAAUUAACUGAGCAAGGAAAAUCUCAACUACUACUACACCCCUCUCUCUCUCUUCAUCUCAAAGCGCAAAAAAGCGUUGAAUUCGUGUUGUAGAGAUCAGUUGAGAGGUAUUUGUCUUGUUUUAGUUCCUAAGCACAUGUGAAGAACAGCAACAGCUUCUACAAGAGAAAAAGAAAAAAAAAAACUAAAUUUAAAACUCACCCGGCAAUAGUGAUGAGAUCACAGUCGUCGUUUGGUGGAAGCAGCUCCAGACUAUCGAAUUACAGCCGUACAUUGGAUUUACCAGAUGAUCAUGACGAUUCCGGUGCACUCAGCUUUGACGACUGCGAACUCGGCGGUGCAAUGUUACCGAUAUUUCUCAACGACCUGAGAAGAAACAGCGAGCAAAACGACGGCUUAGUUGAAGUUACGCUAGAGUUGGAUAAUGACUCCAUUUUUGUUUGCAGUGUCAAACCUAAUGACAAGCCUACCUCAUCAGUGACAUCUGAUCCUGGCCACGGUGCUGCUGGUGGUAGUGGCGGAGGGAUUUUGGAAAGGAGUUUAUCGGCGACGUCGAGAAUACGAC
rnacentral:lncRNA from 1 species